UGGGGAAUUUUGGACAAUGGGCGAAAGCCUGAUCCAGCAAUGCCGCGUGUGUGAAGAAGGCCUUCGGGUUGUAAAGCACUUUUGUCCGGAAAGAAAUCCUUGGCUCUAAUACAGUCGGGGGAUGACGGUACCGGAAGAAUAAGCACCGGCUAACUACGUGCCAGCAGCCGCGGUAAUACGUAGGGUGCAAGCGUUAAUCGGAAUUACUGGGCGUAAAGCGUGCGCAGGCGGUUUGCUAAGACCGAUGUGAAAUCCCCGGGCUCAACCUGGGAACUGCAUUGGUGACUGGCAGGCUAGAGUAUGGCAGAGGGGGGUAGAAUUCCACGUGUAGCAGUGAAAUGCGUAGAGAUGUGGAGGAAUACCGAUGGCGAAGGCAGCCCCCUGGGCCAAUACUGACGCUCAUGCACGAAAGCGUGGGGAGCAAACAGGAUUAGAUACCCUGGUAGUCCACGCCCUAAACGAUGUCAACUAGUUGUUGGGGAUUCAUUCCUUAGUAACGUAGCUAACGCGUGAAGUUGACCGCCUGGGGAGUACGGUCGCAAGAUUAAAACUCAAGGAAUUGACGGGGUCAUAGCUGUUUCCU
rnacentral:rRNA from 1 species